rnacentral:tRNA from 1 species
GGGCCGGUAGCUCAGCGGUCAGAGCGGCGGGCUCAUAACCCGACGGUCGCAGGUUCGAAUCCUGCCCGGCCCA